GCGGGCGCAGUGGCGUGUGCCUGUAACCCCAGAGGCUUGGGAGGCUGAGGCAGGAGGAUUCUGAGUUCAAAGCCAGUCUCAGUGAAAGUGAGGUGCUAAGCAACUCAGUGAGACUCUGUCUCUA
rnacentral:sRNA from 1 species